rnacentral:lncRNA from 1 species
CAGCAACAAGUUGUCGAUGAGAUCCCUUCUCUUUUUUUUCCAUUCUACUAAUACGACGACAGGGAAUAAAACAACGGUAGUGCUUCCUAAACAGUCUCAAUCCAUGGACUAGAACCAAAUCCCCAAAUUCCUUCAUGUUACUUGUCUCAUUCUCCUUUUUCAACUACAACGACAAUGGCAGUAACAGCAACAACCAAGUUGCCAAUGACGGUGUUUCCUAAAUGGUCUCAAUCAAUAGACCGAAACCAUAUCCCCAAGUUCCCUUUUUGUUUUGGUUGUUUGUUUAUGGUAGAAUUAGGCCAAGAAAUUG